UACGAAGGGGGCUAGCGUUGUUCGGAAUUACUGGGCGUAAAGCGCACGUAGGCGGACAUUUAAGUCAGGGGUGAAAUCCCGGAGCUCAACUCCGGAACUGCCUUUGAUACUGGGUGUCUUGAGUGUGGAAGAGGUGAGUGGAAUUCCGAGUGUAGAGGUGAAAUUCGUAGAUAUUCGCAAGAACACCAGUGGCGAAGGCGGCUCACUGGCCCGGUACUGACGCUGAGGUGCGAAAGCGUGGGGAGCAAACAGG
rnacentral:rRNA from 1 species